GAGUUUGAUCCUGGCUCAGGACGAACGCUGGCGGCGUGCUUAACGCAUGCAAGUCGCACGGGGCGCAAGCCUAGUGGCGGACGGGUGAGUAACACGUAGGGACCUGCCCGGAAGUGGGGGACAACUCUCCGAAAGGAGAGCUAAUACCGCAUACGGUCUACGGACCAAAGCCGAAAGGCGCUUCUGGAGGGACCUGCGGUGGAUUAGCUAGUUGGUGGGGUAACGGCCUACCAAGGCGACGAUCCAUAGCUGGUCUGAGAGGAUGAUCAGCCACACUGGGACUGAGACACGGCCCAGACUCCUACGGGAGGCAGCAGCGAGGAAUUUUGCACAAUCGACGCAAGUCGGAUGCAGCAACGCCGCGUGGGGGAAGAAGGCUCUCGAGUUGUAAACCCCUUUUGUGAGGGAAGAAGAUCUGACGGUACCUCACGAAUAAGUCACGGCUAACUACGUGCCAGCAGCCGCCGUAAC
rnacentral:rRNA from 1 species